UACGAAGGGGCUAGCGUUGCUCGGAAUUACUGGGCGUAAAGCGUGCGUAGGCGGUUCGUUAAGUCUGUUGUGAAAGCCCCGGGCUCAACCUGGGAAUGGCAAUGGAUACUGGCGAGCUAGAGUGUGUCAGAGGAUGGUGGAAUUCCCGGUGUAGCGGUGAAAUGCGUAGAGAUCGGGAGGAACAUCAGUGGCGAAGGCGGCCAUCUGGGACAACACUGACGCUGAGGCACGAAAGCGUGGGGAGCAAACAGG
rnacentral:rRNA from 1 species